AUGUCGCAGACGUCAGAAAUUUUGUCCCUCCAAGCGAACGUGCUCGGUUGCCAGGAGAUGCGCUCCACGGAUCUUAAAAUAGGGGAGAGGAGACACGUCAACCCUGAAACAUAUUCGCUACAUGAAACACGGGUCGUGCCCUUCCUUGGCCAUCCAUCCCGGCGAAUCUUUGAUUCCGGCUUCUUUCGACGGCCGACCCUGAGGUGGGGCAGCAGGGAGGCCACCCCGGGCCCCCGGAUUCCAUGGGGCCCCUUCCCACGGUCGUCAUUAAUCCUCAUCAUCGAUCCAAAGUCCUGCCUCCGGUGGACUAUCAAACUCCACGACCGAUUCAUCGAUGCUGCCGCGCAGGUUGGAGGCCAGUCUGUGGGAAGAUCGGUCCAUGGUUUUAGUCUAGAUUGGGCGAUCCUAGGCCAAGCCCCGAGCGAUCCGAUCCAUUUACUGUUGGGAAACGUUUACUGUCGGCGCGCCGGCCGAAUCGUUUCGCCGGUCGCACUCGAGUUGUGCGAUCCACGUGGAUCUGUAGCCCGCGUCCCCGUCCCUCGCCACGGGGCGGACGCGCUAAAGUGCUGCAAGCCCCGUCGCCGUCAAUUUUUUCUCCGCCGUCAUGGCCACGGUUGGUUGCAACCUGGGCGGCCAUGGCUGUCACUAUCCUCGUUUUUCCUCCCGCGCAGCCGUCAGCUACGCCUGGUGAUUUGCUGGAACCAGUGUGUUUUCCUUCCUCACUCAAGUUUGCUGAACCGCACGCGGAGAUGUUGGAACUGGCAACCUCUGGUGCUGGAACCAACUCUUGCUCGUGCUUUCGACAACACUCCGGCGAUGCGAAGCUACAACCUCACUACAAUUAGUUGCAACCAUCCAUGGCGAAGCUACAACCAGCGGGAGGCCAUCCUUUGCGGUGGUGAGCACGCCCUGACAGAGGUGUUUGCUACUACCCAUUGUUUGUUUUUCUUUGCUGGAACCGGUACUCGUUUUUGCUACCACAGGCGUUUGGUUUUGCUGGAACCAAUACUUUUUUUGCUACCACGGCCGUUUGGUUUCGCUGGAAUCACUGCCAAAUUUUCAAGUUUUGCUACCACUGGCUUCUUGGUUUGCUGGAACAAGCUUGAAUUUUUGCUACAUCGUUUUUGCUACCACCGUUUUCUUGGUUUGUUGGAUCCAGUGCAUUUUUUGCUACAAUGGGUGGAUGGGAGCUGCAUGAUGGGGAGCUGCAUCGCCAGUUUUUUGCUGGAACCGGCAAUGCGGAUAGCUGCUACCAGCAAUUUUUUUUUGCUGGAACCCAAUUAUCUUCAUGAGCACUUGAUUUUGCUGGAACCGCAUGAAGCGGAGAUGGGACCAGUUUUUUUGCCACUGUUUUUGCUGCAACGACCCUGCCGGCGAGCGGCGACGUGGCGACCGGUGAGGACGGCGGCGACCUGCGACGAGGACAGCGACAGGGGAGAAGGCGCGGGGAGGUGCUUUGAGGCUGGCGCGCCGUCGUCCGUGGCGGCGCGGGGAGGAAGAAGAAUUUGGGCCGGCGCACCGGCGCCUAGCACUCGCCUUUACUGUUCGGCAGGGCAGCAAAAGAAAAAGGGAAGGGCGGCGCGUCCUUCCUCUCGCCUCUCCCCUCCCCCUCCCUCCCCGCAUCUCGUCCUCCCCGGGUGCGGAGGCGAGCUUCCCGACGACGGUGGGGGUGCUGGAUUCCCUAGCCGCCGCCACCCACCCUCGCACCCUCCCUUCCCCUCGCCUCUGCACCCCCCUGAGCACUACCGAGCCGCUGGGAUCUGCCUCCCCUGCGGCGAUUUGAGGCCACCGACGAGAAGGGGUUUAUUUUUCUGGUUGGUUGGGCGAGCGGGUGGUAUGUGGAUCUCGCACCCACUGUCCGACGAGUUCUACGGAGGGCCCCGCAGAGCUGGGGUGGGUAGCACGCUGCUGCUGUCGCUGGAGCGGACGCCCCCGUCCUCGCCACCGCCGCCCGCGUCCUGCUCCUUGCCUGAGGACGGCGAUGACUUCCUCCAGCACGAGGUGUCCCGCAUGGACACACUCGCCAGCAUCGCCAUCUAG
rnacentral:rRNA from 1 species